UUAUACCAUAGCUUUUGUUGAAACCCCCGGCAAUAACUUCACGAGACGAAGUCGAGUGAGGUUGCCGAGGGGUUUGAACAAAGCUAUGGUAUAAUUUACGA
rnacentral:sRNA from 1 species